rnacentral:rRNA from 1 species
UACGUAGGGUGCGAGCGUUGUCCGGAAUUAUUGGGCGUAAAGAGCUUGUAGGCGGUUUGUCGCGUCUGCUGUGAAAAUCCGGGGCUCAACCCCGGACUUGCAGUGGGUACGGGCAGACUAGAGUGUGGUAGGGGAGACUGGAAUUCCUGGUGUAGCGGUGAAAUGCGCAGAUAUCAGGAGGAACACCGAUGGCGAAGGCAGGUCUCUGGGCCAGUACUGACGCUGAGGAGCGAAAGCGUGGGGAGCAAACAGG